rnacentral:misc_RNA from 1 species
GGCUGGCUCUAGCUUCUCCUUGAUAAAAAUAAAUCCGUUGGGGGGCAGAUGGGGCAUUUAAGAUUAUAUCUGAAGCAUGGAGUUUGUUGUAUGAUAGACCAAAAGAAUGAUGGAUGACAAUAGGCAUGUUACGAGGAAUGCAUCCAUGCAAGGCAAUCGGCACGAAUUUCAUAAUUUCUCCAUGAACCGAGCAAGUGCAAGAAACUCAACAAAUGCUAAUUUCCAGCCCGCUCCCAAACAUCAAAAGUAGAGACAUUCUGGACAUCUUGCAAUACAUGCCAGAUGCCUAAUGAAUACUUAAAUUUUCACCUAAACAAAAGUAUUAU